UAAGGGGGCGUUAGACACCGCGGGCAACGUUCCCGAGGUACUGCCUUUCCCUUAGGACCAGGCAGAGUCACGACUCCUAAAAAGCAUUUGGGCAAUGACGUAACGUGGCGUCGCCAGGGCCUAACUACCCGAGCGGUUCCAUGGUAACAGAUGGUGAGGAGAGUGGUUGGGAGCUGCAGUCAUUUUGCUGCUACCCCAGACUGCUGUAGUCCGAAGGGAAGAGAAAGAGAGAGGAUAUAUAUCCUUGUCUUUGUAUAUUCAUAUCUUGGCUCUGACAGGAUGCAUUAAAGUGACUGACACUGGGGAGGAAAAUUGGGAACAAAGAUUGGCUGUUGACUAAUGUUUCUGUUGGCGAAAGUCCUACAAGAAUCCUUCUGGGCUCAAAGGGCAAAAGGAUUGAAGGUGAUGGUUUACCUGCCCUGAGGCAAUCCAUGGGAUGCUGAGAUUCUAAAUGGCUGAGAUUUUAGAAAAGGGGCACCCAAAUCUCAUUGACAUCUGGGAGCAUUUUACUCUGUGGCUGAACUUCAUGUAAGAAGAUAAUGACCAAGAUGAGGAGCAAAGACCUGCUGACGACAUAUUGUAAUUUGGGGGAAUGGUUUAAAAAGAAAUGCUUUUACUCACCUCAUAACAAAAAUAGUGGAUUAAAUGACUGACCACCAGAUGUAGGUAAGCAGAUGCUAACUUGUUAUUUUUUAAAUGGAAGCACAUAGAUGUAUGAGAUAUGUUGAGACAUAUAUCAAUAAAUCCUAUAUUAUGACAUAGAAGUAACCAUUAGA